GACGAACGCUGGCGGCGUGCUUAACACAUGCAAGUCGAACGGAAAGGCCCUGCUUUUGUGGGGUGCUCGAGUGGCGAACGGGUGAGUAACACGUGAGUAACCUGCCCUUGACUUUGGGAUAACUUCAGGAAACUGGGGCUAAUACCGGAUAGGAGCUCCUGCUGCAUGGUGGGGGUUGGAAAGUUUCGGCGGUUGGGGAUGGACUCGCGGCUUAUCAGCUUGUUGGUGGGGUAGGUGCUUACCAAGGCUUUGACGGGUAGCCGGCCUGAGAGGGUGACCGGCCACAUUGGGACUGAGAUACGGCCCAGACUCCUACGGGAGGCAGCAGGGGGGAAUAUUGCACAAUGGGCGGAAGCCUGAUGCAGCCACGCCGCGUGCGGGAUGACGGCCUUCGGGUUGUAAACCGCUUUCGCCUGUGACGAAGCGUGAGUGACGGUAAUGGGUAAAGAAGCACCGGCUAACUACGUG
rnacentral:rRNA from 1 species